GGGACAGAGAGAGGGAGGCUUCCAGCGUGACGUCACAGCCUCCGCAUCAGCCGCUCCUGGUAGAGGCGAGGGGCGAUGCAAGCAUAGCCCCAUCUGGGAAGCGGCAGCCGUUUUGGUGAAGUUCACAUCUGCCAUCUGUUGGCCUGCAGGGUCGGCGGCCUUGAAGCUGGCAGCUACACCUGCUUUGCUUGGGCCGUACGUUUAAUAGAACGGCUGUCUCUAUAACCCGAAGCUGCCCAGAGACAGUGCUUCUUUCACAGCGUAAUCCAGAGGGACAAUGUGGCAGGAGACCAUGGAGAGUGGGCUGACCGCGUACGCCUGGUUCCUGAACAGUGUCAGACUAACAGAGCUUAACUGACUGCAGGAAAAAGACCCACACAAAGGAGAUCCCAACUG